rnacentral:rRNA from 1 species
AAAUUUGAAAUCUGGUAGCCUUCGGCUGCCCGAGUUGUAAUCUAGAGAAGUGUUUUCCGUGCCGGCCCAUGUACAAGUCCCUUGGAACAGGGCGUCAUAGAGGGUGAGAAUCCCGUCCUUGACAUGGACCCCCGGUGCUUUGUGAUACACUUUCAACGAGUCGAGUUGUUUGGGAAUGCAGCUCAAAAUGGGUGGUGAAUUCCAUCUAAAGCUAAAUAUUGGCGAGAGACCGAUAGCGAACAAGUACCGUGAGGGAAAGAUGAAAAGCACUUUGGAAAGAGAGUUAAACAGUACGUGAAAUUGUUGAAAGGGAAACGAUUGAAGUCAGUCAUGCUCUUUGGAUUCAGCCGUUCUGCGGUGUAUUUCCAUUGAGUGGGGUCAACAUCAGUUUUGACCGCUGGAUAAAGGCACUAGGAAGGUAGCACUCUCGGGUGAACUUAUAGCCUAGCGUCAUAUACAGUGGUUGGGACUGAGGAACGCAGCAUGCCUUUAUGGCCGGGAUUCGUCCACGUACAUGCUUAGGAUGUUGACAUAAUGGCUUUAAACGACCCGUCUG